rnacentral:lncRNA from 1 species
GGUUUGGGCAUUUUGGGGCUGUAAUACACCGAAAUUUUAAUAUAAAAGUAAGUAUAAAUAAAAAUAGUGUAAGAUACUAUUUUUAUUGGACUUAGAAAUAAAACAUAAGUCGGAAACGACUUGUACUGGUAUCGGAACGGAAACAGAAGAUUUAGAAUUUUCUGUAAGAAAUAGGACUGAUAUUUUAGCAGAAAAUUUAUAGUGUCAAAAAAUUAUGAAAACUUGGAAAUAUGUCGGAAUUAUUUUUAUGGGGUUAGAUUUAAAGUUUCAUGUUAUUCCGACAUCCGGAAAGUGAAAAAUAAAAUCUGACUGCUAUCUGCUAGAGAUUUCAGUUCGGUAAAACUUUCGGUGACAAAAAAUGGUCUAAACUGGGAAGUUAAGAUAUAUUUCUUUUAUUUACCUUAAACCGAGCCUGGCUGUCAAAUUUGAGCGCAAAUUGACAUUCAGAAGGGCUCAGGCGAAAAGUAUUAGAUUCUGAGCUGCUAAAUUGAAAUUAAGUUAUAUAU